ACGGAGGGGGCAAGCGUUGUUCGGAUUUACUGGGCGUAAAGGGUGUGUAGGCGGUUGCGCAAGUCUGGUGUGAAAUCUUCACCGCUCAACGGGAAGAGGUCAUUGGAAACUGCGUAACUCGAGUAUGGAAGAGGCAAGCGGAAUUCCUGGUGUAGCGGUGGAAUGCGUAGAUAUCAGGAAGAACACCGGUGGCGAAGGCGGCUUGCUGGGCCAUCACUGACGCUGAGACACGAAAGCGUGGGGAGCAAACGG
rnacentral:rRNA from 1 species